rnacentral:rRNA from 1 species
UUUCCGUAGGUGAACCUGCGGAAGGAUCAUUGUCGAAACCUGCCCAGCAGAACGACUCGAGAACAUGUGAACCCCCGGCGCGGAACGCGCCAAGGAUUACUCAAACAAGAUCGUUCGGCUGCCGUGCCUCGUUCGCGCGGGCACGUGCGGUGUUAGCGUCUUUAGUAACACUAACGACUCUCGGCAACGGAUAUCUCGGCUCUUGCAUCGAUGAAGAACGUAGCGAAAUGCGAUACUUGGUGUGAAUUGCAGAAUCCCGUGAACCAUCGAGUCUUUGAACGCAAGUUGCGCCCGAAGCCGUCAGGCCGAGGGCACGUCUGCCUGGGCGUCACGCAUCGCGUCGCCCCCCUUCAAUUGCGGAGCGGGGAGCGGAUGAUGGCCUCCCGUGCCCGACUUUAGGUGUGGUUGGCCGAAAUGUUARGUCCUUGACGACGGACGUCACGGUGAGUGGUGGYCGUACCUAGCGUGCAUAUCGUUGUGUUGUGCCAUGCCGUCCGAGGACUUUGACCCUUUAUGAGCUGACGUGAGUUGGCUCUCUGACCGCGACCCCAGGUCAGGCGGGACUACCCGCUGAGUUUAA